rnacentral:lncRNA from 1 species
UUCUUACAGAUGAGGUCUUGUUCUUUUGGCCAGGCUGGAGUGCAGUGGUACAGUCGUGACUCACUGCAGCUUCAAACACCUGGGUUCCAGCAUUCAUCCCACUUCAGCCUCCCGUGUAGCCGGGACUACAGAAACAGGUUCUAAGUAUGUUGCCCAAGCUGGUCCUGAACUCCUAGCCUCAAGUAAUCCUCCUGCCUCAACCUACCAAAGCAUUGGGAUUACAAGUUUGACCCACCAUGAUCAGUCCAGGGUAGGAAAUGGAAUCUUAACAACUGUCACGUGAGCUUUGAGGGAAUCCUUCUCCAGAUGAGCCUUCAGUUGAGACCUCAGCCUUGGACAUCAUCUACAUCUGGAUUCCUGACCCAGAGCAACUGCUUAGUUUUCUAAAGAUAAUUCUGCCUUCAAGCCUUGUUGGAAUUCUGUGAUAAUGUCUUUUCACUCCACGAUCUCCAUCAGGAAUUUUAUGGAACCUUGUAUUCUGUUGAAUACCAGAAUUACAUCAGCAAUCCCCAAGCCCCAAAGUCACCGGAUGGGCAUCAUUAUGACAGCAGAUCACCCAAUUGGCGUGCAUUUCCAGGAAUGCAUUUAUGGAAUAAGAAUAAAUGUUUACUCCCUUUUCCUGGGACAGUUCUAAAGACUCAG